rnacentral:lncRNA from 1 species
UCUUAUCUUAAUCUUUACAUCACCAAUUCUUUUUGGGCAGUAUAAUUAUAUUUGUGGGGUCAGUAACUGCAAAUUUUGUUAUGAGUGGGUCUCUUUUGCAUACGAAAUAUGAAAUAUUUUUAGCAAUCUGAGGCCUUUAGGCCAGUAAACUGAAAUAUAAAAAGAAAGCAUGCAGCAUUCGUUGAAGGCACGAGGAGGUCUCUUGCAUUCUGUGGUUCCCACUAGGGAGAGCAGCCGAAAAGUCACACCACUCU